UCCUAACGUUACCUUCAUUGUGUUGCAUGUAUUUUGUGAAUGUUACCAUUUUAUUAUAUAUAUUUACAUUGUCUUCACAGAUAAACACAUUUUAGCAAAGACAUUUUUGUUUAUCUGAAUACAUAAAUUUGUUUUAUUUUUUUACAUGUUUUCAACCUUAUUUCAUUAUUACUAAAUAUAUGUUUUUUAAUAAAAAAAACCUGUGUAAUACAUGUUACUAUUGUAUCACCGUUUGAUUAUUAUAAUACAGUGAUUUUUAUGUUUAAGACAUAUAUUCCUAUUAAUGAAUUUAUACGAAACAAAACACGAGGUAAGUAAUUUAGCUUUUAAAUCUAAAUCAAUGAACUGUACUAUUUAGCCCUAUUUGUAUGAAUAUAAAAAAGAUGUGGUAUGAUUGUGAAAGAGUUUAUGAUUUGAACUUUCUGCUAAAAAACAAAUGACGAAGAAGUUACUCUUUUCUAACUGUAAUAUUAUUUUGUUUUUGAAACUAAUUUAACUCACCUAAUUCCGUUGUUAUUAUCAUUUUAUUUCCUUCUAUUUACAAAUAUACUUUCUAAAGUCGUGUACCACGCGUACAAUUUAAAAACUGAACAAAACUCUGAGAGAUACAUCAAUACUGUUUGUUUUCCAUAGAAAAUAGAACUCACCUGAGUAUGAUCCAUCGACGGCAAUACAGGACGGACUUAAAGAGGCAGCGAGUAAAUAUGGGUGAACUAUAGGUAGAAUGAUGCAUUUAAUUCAAAUGACAAGCAACACUCAAAUUAUUGAUUAAAAGGAUGCUUGACUGAUCGUAUACAUUGUUGGUAAUGUUUUGAUGCCGAUAUUUAUCUAUUGGAACAUGGUCAGAAUUUUGUCAAACUUUACAUCAUGAAGCUGAAUGGUCAAAAUAAUGCAAAAAAGAGUUGCUGACUCCCUUAAGUUAUACUAUGUCAACGAAAGACAGUUUUAAACAUUUUGAUUGCCUUGAAUUAUAUUGCAGAAAAAAAUUAAGUGGGAAUAUAACAUGCAUAUGGGGAAAAAUAGCAUAUCUGAAAGUACUUGAAAUAAUAAUAGGAUAAGGCGUUAUCGUAACUGCGUAAGUCGCAAUCAAGGGUGAACUGAAUAUAUAUGAAUUAUACAAUCAUCUACAGUGUAGAUAAUAUACCCCUGCAAUUUCAGAAAACAACAAUACAUUUCCUUAGAAUUAACCAUUCCGGUAGUUUAAUUGCAUGUCCUAUAGUAGAAAAAAACAACAACAUGGAUGAUAUGUCGCCCAGGAUAACACAAAAUCGAUGGGAUGUUGUAAAGGAAACAUCAACUCCGAAAGAAAUAAUUGACCCUACGUUCAAUUUGAGAGAUGUCAUGACAAACGAACAUGUUUCAGUCUUCGGGUUGCUCUUUGUGCUACAAAAACUCAGACAAGUUUAUUUAUAGUCGGCCCUUGUACUGUAUAACUUUCAGAUCAAUUAGAAUUAGACAUGCAUUAAAUCUGUCAUACUAUAAAAUUAAUUUUGCUGGAAUAUUUAUAUUUGAAAUAGCAAAUGAACGGAUUAUCAUUUCACUUAAAUAGUAAAUGAAAUUAUCUAUCAAUAUUCCCGAUGAUCUUGGAUACUUAUAUUUAAUAUAGCGAGAUAGAAGGCUGUCAUUUUUCACUGAAGUAGUAAAUAGAAUUAUUAAAUUACCAUGUACUUUUGAAAAUCAUUUGAACACGAAAAUCAUGUUUGUUUCCACACAGAUACACGUUAACAAUAGCACGUGUUUUUUUAAUCUUUAUAAAACAAAUCAUAUCUGCAAUUUGUAACACCAAGAUGCAUUAUGCAAGUAAAACUAAAACUGUAAACAUUUCGAAAAUAUCAACUGGCAUUGCUGCAACAAGUCAAUUUUAGUUGAAAAUAUCUUGAACUUUAAAGGCAUUUAGAGAAUAUCAACAAUCACAGAUUAAUACAUUUUGAUAAAAUACAAUUCCAAAAGUUGUUUGAGCGGUUUUAAGUCUGUUAUUUAAAACUCAAUUUUGUUAUUUUAAUCACACAUAGCGCAUAGAUGAAUGGCAGUUUUGGCGUCUGCAAAGUUCUUCUUUGGUUGAAAAAUGAUAGAACUAUUUUAGACAUAUUGCACUUCUAUGGCAAUAAUGCACAUUAUCAGAAUAAUAUGAAACUGCACAUGAAAGCAAAAAAGGUGCUACUCCUACCGUCGUUUUCCUAUUCAUGUUUGCAAGAUUAAACACAACAACAUUAGUCCUAUUAAUCUAAUUUCAAAUUCACAUUCAUGUAUACGUUGUAUACAGUUUUAAUAUGAGUUUUUACGUUUAUUGUAAUUAAUCGUCUAAACUAUAACGGUGUUGCUUUUUUUUUUUUUUUAUCUUUUUGUCACAUUUGAUUAGAUUAUAACUUGUGUUUAGGUUAUACAUCGUAAGUUUGAUUAAUACAUUUCUAAACAGCA